AGGAAAAAUGUAUAAAAGGGAAGACAAUUCGACGUUGGUGCCAUCAAUUCCGGUGGAGAAACACUUGAACAGAGCAGCAAUUCAAGGACCACAUAAAUCCCCAACAUGAAGUUCUUCUACGUUUGCCUCGCCUUCGCCCUCGUCGUCGCUUCCGUCGCCGCCCUCGAGGAGGAUAACGAGCUCUUCGACCUCAUGGACAAACGUUCGAUGGAUGACAGCGACCUCCUUGAAGCCAUGUUGUACGAGGGUGAACCCAUGGUGAAGAGGGGACGAUUCAAAUAUUGUAAGAACGCUCGUGGUGAUAGCUGCGUGUGUGACCGCAAAUACAGGCGAAACAACAGAAGACGUUACAUCAACUGCGUCCCAAAGAAUAUGGGAACACCAGUCUAAAUGGACCAAGGACCAACCUCACCUUAUUGACUAAAACAAGCGCAAAUGCUGCAUCAAUACAGCAAGCCUAUGGCAAUUGACAGUAAUCCCGCCGUUCUACGAAUCCAUCAUAUUCCACAUCAAAUCUUAAUUUCCAAGACUGGCCCUAAA